rnacentral:rRNA from 1 species
UACGUAGGGCGCCAGCGUUGUCCGGAAUUAUUGGGCGUAAAGAGCUCGUAGGCGGUUUGUCGCGUCUGCUGUGAAAACCUAAGGCUCAACCUUGGGCUUGCAGUGGGUACGGGCAGACUAGAGUGCGGUAGGGGUGACUGGAAUUCCUGGUGUAGCGGUGAAAUGCGCAGAUAUCAGGAGGAACACCGAUGGCGAAGGCAGGUCUCUGGGCAUUAACUGACGCUGAGGAGCGAAAGCAUGGGGAGCGAACAGG